CGCAAGCCUGACGGAGCAACGCCGCGUGUGGGAAGAAGGCUCUUGGGCUGUCAACCACUUUUCUCAGGGAAGAAGCCCUGACGGUACCUGAGGAAUCAGCCUCGGCUAACUCCGUGCCAGCAGCCGCGGUAAUACGGAGGAGGCAAGCGUUAUCCGGAAUUAUUGGGCGUAAAGCGUCCGCAGGGGGCACAUCAAGUCUGCUGUUAAAGGCUGGAGCUUAACUCCGGUAAAGCAGUGGAAACUGGUGUGCUAAAGGGCGACAGGGGUACAGGGAAUUCCCAGUGUAGCGGUGAAAUGCGUACAGAUUGGGAAGAACACCGGUGGCGAAAGCGCUCUACUGGGUCGCACCUGAACCUCAAGGACGAAAGCUAAGGUAACG
rnacentral:rRNA from 1 species